rnacentral:misc_RNA from 1 species
GAUGAAGAACGUAGCGAAAUGCGAUAAGUAAUGCGAAUUGCAGAAUUCAGUGAGUCAUCGAAUCUUUGAACGCACAUUGCGCCCUGUGGUAUUCCGCAGGGCAUGCCUGUUCGAGCGUCAUUUCAACCCUCAAGCUCUGCUUGGUGUUGGGCCCUGCCCGCUGCGGCCGGCCCUAAAGACAGUGGCGGUGCCGCCUGGCCCUGAGCGUAGUACAUCUCUCGCUCCAGUGCCCGGUGGUAGCCUGCCAGAACCCCAACUCUCGUGGUUGACCUCGGAUCAGGUCGGGAUACCCGCUGAACUUAAGCAUAUCAAUAAGCGGAGGA